rnacentral:rRNA from 1 species
AUUACUUCGGUAAUUGACCUAGCGGCGGACGGGUGAGUAAUACUUAGGAAUCUGCCUAUUAAUGGGGGACAACAUCUCGAAAGGGAUGCUAAUACCGCAUACGCCCUACGGGGGAAAGCAGGGGAUCACUUGUGACCUUGCGUUAAUAGAUGAGCCUAAGUCGGAUUAGCUAGUUGGUGGGGUAAAGGCCUACCAAGGCGACGAUCUGUAGCGGGUCUGAGAGGAUGAUCCGCCACACUGGGACUGAGACACGGCCCAGACUCCUACGGGAGGCAGCAGUGGGGAAUAUUGGACAAUGGGGGGAACCCUGAUCCAGCCAUGCCGCGUGUGUGAAGAAGGCCUUAUGGUUGUAAAGCACUUUAAGCGAGGAGGAGGCUCUUUUGGUUAAUACCCAAGAUGAGUGGACGUUACUCGCAGAAUAAGCACCGGCUAACUCUGUGCCAGCAGCCGCGGUAAUACAGAGGGUGCGAGCGUUAAUCGGAUUUACUGGGCGUAAAGCGUGCGUAGGCGGCUUUUUAAGUCGGAUGUGAAAUCCCCGAGCUUAACUUGGGAAUUGCAUUCGAUACUGGGAAGCUAGAGUAUGGGAGAGGAUGGUAGAAUUCCAGGUGUAGCGGUGAAAUGCGUAGAGAUCUGGAGGAAUACCGAUGGCGAAGG